CUUCUUUGCUGGCGACCGGCGCACGGGUGAGUAACACGUAUCCAACCUGCCCUUUACUCGGGGAUAGCCUUUCGAAAGAAAGAUUAAUACCCGAUAGCAUAAUGAUUCCGCAUGGUUUCAUUAUUAAAGGAUUCCGGUAAAGGAUGGGGAUGCGUUCCAUUAGGUUGUUGGUGAGGUAACGGCUCACCAAACCUUCGAUGGAUAGGGGUUCUGAGAGGAAGGUCCCCCACAUUGGAACUGAGACACGGUCCAA
rnacentral:rRNA from 1 species